rnacentral:rRNA from 1 species
GAUGAACGCUGGCGGCGUGCCUAAUACAUGCAAGUCGAGCGAACAGACGAUGAGCUCGCUCCUCUGACGUUAGCGGCGGACGGGUGAGUAACACGUGGAUAACCUACCUAUAAGACUGGGAUAACUUCGGGAAACCGGAGCUAAUACCGGAUAAUAUAUUGAACCGCAUGGUUCAAUAGUUAAAGACGGUUUUGCUGUCACUUAUAGAUGGAUCCGCGCCGCAUUAGCUAGUUGGUAAGGUAACGGCUUACCAAGGCGACGAUGCGUAGCCGACCUGAGAGGGUGAUCGGCCACACUGGAACUGAGACACGGUCCAGACUCCUACGGGAGGCAGCAGUAGGGAAUCUUCCGCAAUGGGCGCAAGCCUGACGGAGCAACGCCGCGUGAGUGAUGAAGGUCUUCGGAUCGUAAAGCACUGUUAUUGGGGAAGAACAGAUGUAUGAGUAACUAUGCACGUCUUGACGGUACCUAAUCAGAAAGCCACGGCUAACUACGUG